GUGCUAUCGUUCCAGCCCAUAUACUAAAAUUGGAAUGAUACAGAGAAGAUUAGCAUGGCCCCUGUACAAAGAUGACACAUAAAUUAUUUUGUUAUACUAUGUAAAU